AGAGUUUGAUCCUGGCUCAGGAUGAACGCUGGCGGCGUGCCUAAUACAUGCAAGUCGAACGAAACUUCUUUAUCACCGAGUGCUUGCGCUCACCGAUAAAGAGUUGAGUGGCGAACGGGUGAGUAACACGUGGGCAACCUGCCCAAAAGAGGGGGAUAACACUUGGAAACAGGUGCUAAUACCGCAUAACCAUAGUUACCGCAUGGUAACUAUGUAAAAGGUGGCUAUGCUACCGCUUUUGGAUGGGCCCGCGGCGCAUUAGCUAGUUGGUGGGGUAAAGGCUUACCAAGGCAAUGAUGCGUAGCCGAACUGAGAGGUUGAUCGGCCACAUUGGGACUGAGACACGGCCCAAACUCCUACGGGAGGCAGCAGUAGGGAAUCUUCCACAAUGGGCGAAAGCCUGAUGGAGCAACGCCGCGUGGGUGAAGAAGGUCUUCGGAUCGUAAAACCCUGUUGUUAGAGAAGAAAGUGCGUGAGAGUAACUGUUCACGUUUCGACGGUAUCUAACCAGAAAGCCACGGCUAACUACGUGCCAGCAGCCGCGGUAAUACGUAGGUGGCAAGCGUUAUCCGGAUUUAUUGGGCGUAAAGGGAACGCAGGCGGUCUUUUAAGACUGAUGUGAAAGCCUUCGGCUUAACCGGAGUAGUGCAUUGGAAACUGGGAGACUUGAGUGCAGAAGAGGAGAGUGGAACUCCAUGUGUAGCGGUGAAAUGCGUAGAUAUAUGGAAGAACACCAGUGGCGAAAGCGGCUCUCUGGUCUGUAACUGACGCUGAGGUUCGAAAGCGUGGGUAGCAAACAGGAUUAGAUACCCUGGUAGUCCACGCCGUAAACGAUGAAUGCUAAGUGGUGGAGGGUUCCCCCCUUCAGUGC
rnacentral:rRNA from 1 species